rnacentral:rRNA from 1 species
AACCAGACUCCUACGGGAGGCAGCAGUAGGGAAUCUUUCACAAUGGGCGAAAGCCUGAUGGAGCAACGCCGCGUGCAGGAUGAAGGCCUUCGGGUUGUAAACUGCUUUUAUAAGCGAGAAAUAUGAUGGUAACUUAUGAAUAAGGAUCGGCUAACUACGUGCCAGCAGCCGCGGUAAUACGUAGGUGGCGAGCGUUAUCCGGAUUUAUUGGGCGUAAAGCGUCCGCAGCCGGUUUAUUAAGUAUAGAAUAAAACUUCGGGGCUCAACCCCGUCUCGUUCUAUAAACUGAUAGACUAGAGUGUGGUAGAGGCAAGUGGAAUUUCUAGUGUAGCGGUAGAAUGCGUAGAUAUUAGAAGGAACACCAGUGGCGAAGGCGACUUGCUGGGCCAUCACUGACGGUCAGGGACGAAAGCGUGGGGAGCGAAUAGGAUUAGAUACCCCGGUA